rnacentral:rRNA from 1 species
AGAGUUUGAUCCUGGCUCAGGAUGAACGCUGGCGGUAUGCUUAACACAUGCAAGUCGAACGGAACUCUUCGGAGUUCAGUGGCGGACGGGUGAGUAACGCGUGAGAAUCUGGCUUCAAGUUCGGGACAACCAUUGGAAACGAUGGCUAAUACCGGAUGUGCCGCAGGGUGAAAGAUUAAUUGCCUGAAGAUGAGCUCGCGUCUGAUUAGCUAGUUGGUGGGGUAAGAGCCUACCAAGGCGACGAUCAGUAACUGGUCUGAGAGGAUGACCAGUCACACUGGGACUGAGACACGGCCCAGACUCCUACGGGAGGCAGCAGUGAGGAAUUUUCCGCAAUGGGCGAAAGCCUGACGGAGCAAUACCGCGUGAGGGAGGAAGGCUCUAGGGUUGUAAACCUCUUUUCUCAGGGAAGAAUAAAAUGACGGUACCUGAGGAAUAAGCAUCGGCUAACUCCGUGCCAGCAGCCGCGGUAAUACGGAGGAUGCAAGCGUUAUCCGGAUUUAUUGGGCGUAAAGCGUCCGCAGGUGGCAGUUCAAGUCUGCUGUCAAAGGUCGGGGCUCAACCCCGAACAGGCAGUGGAAACUGAACAGCUAGAGUACGGUAGGGGCAGAGGGAAUUCCCAGUGUAGCGGUGAAAUGCAUAGAUAUGACCCAGAACACCGAUUGCGAAGGCAGGCUACUACGACUUGAUUGACACUGAGGCACGAGAGCAUGGGUAGCGAACAGGAUUAGAUACCCUGGUAGUCCAUGCCGUAAACGAUGAUUACUGGCUGUGUGCGUUCAAGCGUGCGUGGCUGAGCGAAAGCGUUAAGUAAUC